GCGACAGCCAGACUCUGUCUCAAAAACAAACAAAAAAAGAGGCCAGAUGAAGAGCUCGAACCACGAGCUUCUACAUGUUAACCAGGGUAAAGAGCAACCGCUGACAGGAAGGGGCCCAGCAGUCAACCCCCGGGAAGGCCAGGAUGUGGCCUUGUUUCGGCAAGGCCGCCCUAUCGCCACGGAGAUGGGCAGGCAGGAGACAUCCCCAGUAAGUCGGACCCAGGUGGGGAUCAGGAGGUUUCAGGAAAACACAAGUUAUGCAGUGGGGCAGGUGAGGCUCAGCCUGUCCUGAGUGUCAUGGGAACAGCUCUGGAAGUGACUCCUCUGUCCUCUGGAAUCUGGACCAGAUGGGGGCUUCUCCAGACAUCUGUGCUCAGCAGAUGCGACAGACGGCCCCUCGAGUGUAGCCCCAGAUCCAGCACCGGCCCAAGCAGGUGGGAGCUGUAAGUUGAUCCGAGCUCUCCAGUCCCUGCGCUGGGCUGAGGGAUGCACGAUGAGCGAGACUGGGAUCCUGGUGUCAGGGAGUCACCAGCCACGGAGGGCGCCAUGUGCAUGGAGGAGGUGGCAAGGAAGAGGUGACUGGGAAGGGGAGAAGCAGAGAGGCCAGGAGGAGGCCGGGGCCUGCGCUGGGGGGUGGAGGAACUCAUGCCCGGUAAGGGCAUGGGCGGGGAGUGAAGUGGGAGUGGAGUGGGAGGCAGGCUUGGAGGAGUCGGUGCCUUGGGAUGUGGGACAGUGAGGAACAAGGCACAAACAACCAGUCAGUGCUCAGGGGAAUCAAGAAGUUGGGAUGGGCAGCAGGGGUCCAGGGUGGAGAUGGGCUGGAGGGGGAGGAGGGCACCAACCAGGGAAGGCCCCUCAGGGGCUUGAUCCUGUAGUUCUGGGCCUCGCAGAGCCAGCCACACGUCCGAGCUCCUAGGUGAUUUUAAGAACUAGCUCUUGCUGGGCCGCACCCAGGCAGAGCUGCCCGUUCAGUGGCUGGGCUGGCCCAGCACCUCCCAGGUGAUCCUGUUGCGCCAGGUCAAUGGUCUGGAGAGUUAUCAGCCGCAAGAGGCACCGUCAGGUUUGCCCUUUUGAGGCCCACAUGGCCGCUGGUGUGAGACGCGGAUGUGCACGGUGAGGCAGUGAGGGGCUGCAGGGUGAGGAGCCCCAGCCAUGUGCGGUUCAGGGUCCCCGCAGCACUCGCCCAAGGACACUGGGAGCUGGCGGAGGCCUGGGCAGGAGCAGGAAACUGAAGGAGGAGGAGGGGCCUCACUCAUCACCUGAUGAGAUCUCCACACUUUGCAGAAGGGGAAACCGAGGCUCACAGCGAGGAACUUGGUCAGCAAGACCAGGCCCCUCCACCCUGCCCGCGUUUCCUGCACUGCACUGGAUCAAACCGGUUUGAUCCUUGAUAAUGCCUCCGACAAAUAUUUGAUGAGGGAGGAGGCUGAGAGAGGUGAGGAAAUCAGUUUCUCAGGGACAGGCUGGACACAGGGGUCAUGCACCGGGUAGCUGUGAGGGCAGGGGUGGCGUCUCACCUCAGGGACACAGCUCCUGGGGAGGGCGGCAGAGACCCUGACAGUCUCGCCUCGCAGGCGUCUUUCUCCAGGCUAGAAACCAAUGACUCAUCUCUCAGGCUCUCUAGCAAACAGUGGGGCCCACACACCGCAGUUCUGGUCAAAUGUUUCCCUGAGGGCUACGGAGCCUGGUCUUGCCGAAUACAAAGAGGAGGCUCUCAGCCGUCUGCUUUCUUCCUGCAGGAAUCCUGGGCGUGAUCUCCAUCCAAUACGUGCAGCCACGUGGAGACGCUGUGGGGAUUCUUGUUGCUCGUGACUGAGUAUUCCCAACUGGUUGUAUUUGUUUUUUAGGGGCUGUGGAACAAAUCACCACAAACUGGAGGGCCGAAAACACCAGCAAUGGGCUCCCUCUUGGUUCUGGAGCCGAGAAGGCAGAAAUCAAGGCGUCGUCAGGGUUGUUCCUUCUGGGGCCUCAGAGCAGGACUCUGUUCCCUGCCCGUCCCCAGCUCCGGUGGUUGGCGGCCUUCCUCGGCCUGUGGCCCUGCACUCCAAUCGCUGCCUCUGUUGUCACUUGGCCCCCCAUGUGCCUCUGUGUCUCAGAAGGACACAAGUCAUAUUGAAUUAAGGACCCUCCCUACCCCAGCAUGACCCCGUUUUAACUUAGAACUUUCACAAUGAUCUGAUUUGCAAAGAAGGCUGGAUUCUGAGGUCCUGGGAAGGACAUGAAUUUUGGGGGAUGCUGUUCACCUCAGUACACCGGUGCAGAGUUCGGUGACACCGCC
rnacentral:lncRNA from 1 species